rnacentral:rRNA from 1 species
ACGCUCGACACCUACGGGAGACAGCAGUCGGGAAUAUUGCGCAAUGGAGGAAACUCUGACGCAGUGACGCCGCGUAUAGGAAGAAGGUUUUCGGAUUGUAAACUAUUGUCGUUAGGGAAGAAAAAGGACAGUACCUAAGGAGGAAGCUCCGGCUAACUACGUGUCAGCAGCCGCGGUAAUCUGAGCGGGCUGGCAAGGC